GUGAGAUAAGGCUCUCAAGGAAGCCCCCUCCUGCUGCCUCUCCUCCCCACCCUCAUGUCCAGAGACAGAGCGGCGAUUUCCUGACCUUUCCCUACAAAUGGCCUGCAGCCCCCCUGGGGAAGGAAAAAUGGGUCAAACUGCCAGACUAGCUCCAGGAAACUCUUCUCAAGGAUGGUGCCCACUCCCUUUCAAAGGCGUUGAUCUCCUGUAUUCUUAGCAGCAGAGGUGAUUACAGCAGUAACUGUGAGACUCCCAACACCUUGGAUACCACAUCCCAAGACAUGCAAGUAUCCAGUCACUUAGGAUCAAGGGCCACAAAAUAUGGGGUCCCUCCAUCUGAGUGCCGGAGCUCAUCUUCUGCCUGCCAUGUCUGCCCUCCCACUCCCUCCCGUCAGAGCUUCCGGCAGAGACAGAGACAGGGACAAUCUCUGAAGCAUGGACCUGGAGCUCCUGGAAAAUGAAAGAACAAGAAAGAGGAAGAAAGAAAGGCCGAACACAAAUUUGAGCACCACAGAGUUAGGAAUAAUUUCUACCGGAGCAUAUUUUUCACAUCUGGGGACCUGAGUUCUCAGUGCCAGUCACGGAGGUGGCUAAAUCCCUCUUACACCGUCUUCUGUGUCCAGUUGUGCCUGGAAAGAUUUAUCACAGUGAACCCAAGUUAUCCACUUA